rnacentral:misc_RNA from 1 species
AGAGGCACGCGCAUACAUCUGCACAUACAUACAUUCACGUUGUGACACAGACUGCUGUCACGCGCCACACGCACACGCGCGUCACCAGCGCAUAAACAGCGGCCGCCUUCAUGUCAACAGCGACUAAGCGUCUGAGAUGGACAUUCCUCUGCGUCUUCGACUGGCCUACGCCAACUACCUCGGUGAGGUCUACUGCGACAGGAAACUUGUGAGAUGCGACCCCCAACCUCCCUCUCGCAGCUCGCCGUACACCGGCGAAGGCGCUGAGCGCGAUGGGCGGCACUGGCUGAGCUCGCUGGUGGCGUCGGUCGGGUCGAACCAGUCCGGGGAAGCCUUGUUGCAUACCGACCCAGAGGCCAACACCACGUUCCUCUCCCCACGUGUCGUCACAGCAGUCAUGCAAAUGAAAACACCGCCAUCGUUGCCCAAUGCAGAUCCGCUGCCGCGAUGCGUCUCUGAGAAGAGGGAAGCCGCCGACCCGUCAGCGGCCCCAUCUCUGCAGCCGUGUGACGAUAUCGGUGAAGGUCCUCAGCUCCUGCAUACAGAAAAGUUAGUCGACGAGACGCAGCCAGAAUCGCCACACACGUCAUCCGCCUCCUUCAGCAGGACUGCCCCAUCGCCCCCUGCCACCGCUCUCGAGCCUCACGCACCGGAGGCCACAAGGGUGGAAUCCGCGGUGCAGACAAGCAUAGCUGUUGGGAUGGAAGCCGACGCCGCAGCACGCGCGCGCGAGGUGCGUGUCAGCGAGGAACUGGCCGGAACGCACGAGGCGUUGCUUGCCGACGUCACAGCCGCGCUCGAGCGGCGCCUGCGCGAGUGCGUGUGGAAAACAGUCACACUCGACGACGCACAGCAGCAGCUUACCUGCGCUUUCCAGCUUCCGUCGUCCACAUCUCCUGCAUCUUCAUCUCGUCCUCCUCAUCCUUUGUCUUCGGUGCCGCUGGCCGCGGCGGCUUUUCGCGCAAG